rnacentral:rRNA from 1 species
GCCUAACACUGCAAGUCGUACGAGAAAUCCCGAGCUUGCUUGGGAGAGUAAAGUGGCGCACGGGUGAGUAACGCGUGGGUAACCCACCUUCGAAUCUGGGAUAACUCCGCGAAAGCGGUGCUAAUACCGGAUAAGACCACAGCCGUUUCGGCGGCAGAGGUAAAAGCUGACCUCUCCAUGGAAGUUAGCGUUCGAGGACGGGCCCGCGUCCUAUCAGCUUGUUGGUGGGGUAAAGGCCUACCAAGGCAGCGACGGGUAGUGGUCUGAGAGGAUGAUCAGCACACUGACUGACACGUCAGACUCCUACGGAGGCAGCAGUGAGGAUUUGCGCAUGGCGAACCCUGACGCAGCAACGCCGCGUGGGUGAAGAAGGCUUUCGGGUCGUAAAGCCCUGUCAGGUGGGAAGAACCGUUUCGAUACUAAUAAUGUCGAAGCCUGACGGUACCACCAGAGGAAGCACCGGCCAACUCCGUGCCAGCAGCCGCGGUAAUACGGAGGGUGCAAGCGUUGUUCGGAAUUAUUGGGCGUAAAGAGCGUGUAGGCGGUCCGGUAAGUCAGAUGUGAAAGCCCUGGGCUCAACCCAGGAAGUGCAUUUGAAACUACCAGACUUGAGUACGGGAGAGGAGGGGGGAAUUCCCGGUGUAGAGGUGAAAUUCGUAGAUAUCGGGAGGAAUACCAGUGGCGAAGGCGCCCCUCUGGACCGAUACUGACGCUGAGACGCGAAAGCGUGGGGAGCAAACAGGAUUAGAUACCCUGGUAGUCCACGCCGUAAACGAUGAGCACUAGGUGUAGCGGGUAUUGACCCCUGCUGUGCCGUAGCUAACGCAUUAAGUGCUCCGCCUGGGACUACGGUCGCAAGACUAAAACUCAAAGGAAUUGACGGGGCCCGCACAAGCGGUGGAGCAUGUGGUUUAUUGCGCAAAGCGAAGAACAUACCCGGCUACAUCCCGACAACCCAACGAAACAACGCCUACCACAACGGUGGACCGGGUGACAGGUGCUGCAUGGCU